CGAGCAUGUAUUUUAAGCCCAGACAGACAUGGACUUCCAUCAUUGAGAGGGAGAAUGAAGGAAAAUAACCAAAGCAUUUUUGGUGGAAGCAAACCAAAUACAAGGGCCACUUCUGUCCCUCGACCACGUGCAGUCUUAUCAAGCCCUGUUAAUGAUCAAAUGAUAAGCACGAGGAGCAAGACGAAAGCAGAAGCAGUUUCAGACUUGAAG
rnacentral:misc_RNA from 1 species